rnacentral:rRNA from 1 species
UACGGGGGGGGCAAGCGUUGUUCGGAAUUACUGGGCGUAAAGGGCUCGUAGGCGGCCAACUAAGUCAGACGUGAAAUCCCUCGGCUUAACCGGGGGAACUGCGUCUGAUACUGGAUGGCUUGAGUUUGGGAGAGGGAUGCGGAAUUCCCGGUGUAGAGGUGAAAUUCGUAGAUAUCGGGAAGAACACCAGUGGCGAAGGCGACGUGCUGGGUUGCACCUGACGCUGAGAUGCGAAAGUGUGGGGAGCAAACGGG